rnacentral:Y_RNA from 1 species
GGUUGGUCCGAGUGCAGUGGUGUUUAACACUAAUCACAACCAGUUACAGAUUCCUCUGUUCCUUUUCCACUCCCACUGCUUCACUUGACCAGCCUUAA